ensembl:misc_RNA Metazoa_SRP Metazoan signal recognition particle RNA
GCCAGGUGUAGGGGUGUGCACCUGUAGUCCUAGCUACUUGGGAGGCUGAGGUGAGAGAAUUGCUUGAGCCCAGGAGUUCUAUGCUGCAGUGAGCUAUGAUCACAUCACUGCACUCUAGCCUGGGCACUAGAAUGAGAUCCUAUCUCUA